UGGCUCAGAUUGGACGCUGGCGGCAGGCCUAACACAUGCAAGUCGAACGGUAACAGGAAGAAGCUUGCUUCUUUGCUGACGAGUGGCGGACGGGUGAGUAAUGUCUGGGAAACUGCCUGAUGGAGGGGGAUAACUACUGGAAACGGUAGCUAAUACCGCAUAACGUCGCAAGACCAAAGAGGGGGACCUUCGGGCCUCUUGCCAUCGGAUGUGCCCAGAUGGGAUUAGCUUGUUGGUGGGGUAACGGCUCACCAAGGCGACGAUCCCUAGCUGGUCUGAGAGGAUGACCAGCCACACUGGAACUGAGACACGGUCCAGACUCCUACGGGAGGCAGCAGUGGGGAAUAUUGCACAAUGGGCGCAAGCCUGAUGCAGCUAUGCCGCGUGUAUGAAGAAGGCCUUCGGGUUGUAAAGUACUUUCAGCGGGGAGGAAGGGAGUAAAGUUAAUACCUUUGCUCAUUGACGUUACCCGCAGAAGAAGCACCGGCUAACUCCGUGCCAGCAGCCGCGGUAAUACGGAGGGUGCAAGCGUUAAUCGGAAUUACUGGGCGUAAAGCGCACGCAGGCGGUUUGUUAAGUCAGAUGUGAAAUCCCCGGGCUCAACCUGGGAACUGCAUCUGAUACUGGCAAGCUUGAGUCUCGUAGAGGGGGGUAGAAUUCCAGGUGUAGCGGUGAAAUGCGUAGAGAUCUGGAGGAAUACCGGUGGCGAAGGCGGCCCCCUGGACGAAGACUGACGCUCAGGUGCGAAAGCGUGGGGAGCAAACAGGAUUAGAUACCCUGGUAGUCCACGCCGUAAACGAUGUCGACUUGGAGGUUGUGCCCUUGAGGCGUGGCUUCCGGAGCUAACGCGUCAAGUCGACCGCCUGGGGAGUACGGCCGCAAGGUUAAAACUCAAAUGAAUUGACGGGGGCCCGCACAAGCGGUGGAGCAUGUGGUUUAAUUCGAUGCAACGCGAAGAACCUUACCUGGUCUUGACAUCCACGGAAGUUUUCAGAGAUGAGAAUGUGCCUUCGGGAACCGUGAGACAGGUGCUGCAUGGCUGUCGUCAGCUCGUGUUGUGAAAUGUUGGGUUAAGUCCCGCAACGAGCGCAACCCUUAUCCUUUGUUGCCAGCGGUCCGGCCGGGAACUCAAAGGAGACUGCCAGUGAUAAACUGGAGGAAGGUGGGGAUGACGUCAAGUCAUCAUGGCCCUUACGACCAGGGCUACACACGUGCUACAAUGGCGCAUACAAAGAGAAGCGACCUCGCGAGAGCAAGCGGACCUCAUAAAGUGCGUCGUAGUCCGGAUUGGAGUCUGCAACUCGACUCCAUGAAGUCGGAAUCGCUAGUAAUCGUGGAUCAGAAUGCCACGGUGAAUACGUUCCCGGGCCUUGUACACACCGCCCGUCA
rnacentral:rRNA from 1 species